GCUCACCCCCUCACCCCACCUGGCUCCCUGCUACCGAUACCUGCUUUCCGUGCCGCUGAUUGCGGACUUUGUUUAAGCGGAGGAGAGGGAAUGAGAAGCUGUGAAAACUUUUCCUGAAAUGAUCCUCCUCUGCCUUCUGGCUGAAGAGUAUGACUGAUGCCUUUUCUUCCCCAGUGCAAUAGUACAUCUGUGGAGUAGAGAGACUAGCUCAUCAUUGUCCUCUUGGUUUGAACUGGUGGCUUGAAGAUUAAUUUCUUGGGGUUCCCAAAUUAUCCACCUUGGACGUGAUUUCAAUUUCAAGGUUGUGGAAGCCAAAGAAGACUGGUGGACACUGCAGAAUUUUUCAAGACAGGCUGCAGCUUGAAAAGUUGUGCAAGCUGAAAGUGGUGAGACGCGAUGCACAAACAAGUAGCUCCAGUCCCCGUCUUUGAAAACCAACGUUUUUAAUGAUUUCCAUCAUAAGACAUUCUUGUCUGAAUGACAAUACAUUCAACGCAGGACCAGAGUCCUGGUAUCAGGUAUAUAUAAAGAAUACUAGGAUAAGAUAUGGGAAUUCUUCCACAGUAAAAGAAAGGUGUUUUCAUACAGAGCCCAAUGAAAGAUUCUCAAGGAAAUAAAAAUUUUGGUACUCCACAGAUGAUGAACUAUGGUAUGGAGAGGAGGAAAAAUGGAGCAAAAUCAGGAUUCCAGGAAGAGAAUGUGUGGGCAUGUGUGCAGGGAGCUAUGAACUCAGACAAGAUAUGAUUUGAAAAAGGUGAACUAUCAAUAACAAGCUGCAAGGUUUUGUCUUGUUGCUGAACCUCUGGCAACUUACUGUACACCUUGGAAAGCUCCCUAUUCAGUUUUCGGGAACACUGAAAGUGAAGGAAAGAUUUUAUAUUGCCAGAGCACUAGAACUCAGCAGAAUUUUGUGAAGGAUUUUUUCUAAUGGAAAACAUAUAAU